AGGGGGUGCUUGCUCCCCGCUGACGAGCGGCGGACGGGUGAGUAAUGCAUAUGAAUCUGCCCAGUAGUUGGGGAUAGCCCGGGGAAACCCGGAUUAAUACCGAAUACGCCCUACGGGGGAAAGCAAGGGAUCUUCCGACCUUGCGCUAUUGGAUGAACCUAUGUCGGAUUAGCUAGUUGGUGGGGUAACGGCCUACCAAGGCGACGAUCCGUAGCUGGUCUGAGAGGAUGAUCAGCCACAUCGGGACUGAGACACGGCCCGAACUCCUACGGGAGGCAGCAGUGGGGAAUAUUGGACAAUGGGGGCAACCCUGAUCCAGCCAUGCCGCGUGUGUGAAGAAGGCUUUCGGGUUGUAAAGCACUUUCAGUGAGGAGGAAAACCUUAUGUUUAAUAUCCAUGAGGCUUGACGUUACUCACAGAAGAAGCACCGGCUAACUCCGUGCCAGCAGCCGCGGUAAUACGGAGGUUUCAAGCGUUUAUCGGAAUUCUCGUGCUUCAAGCACGCGUAGGUGGUUAGGUAAGCGAGAUGUGAAAGCCCCGGGCUUAACCUGGGAACGGCAUUUCGAACUGUCUGACUAGAGUUUGGUAGAGGGUAGUGGAAUUUCCUGUGUAGCGGUGAAAUGCGUAGAUAUAGGAAGGAACACCAGUGGCGAAGGCGGCUACCUGAACCAAUACUGACGUUGAGGUGCGAAAGCGUGGGGAGCAAAAAAAAAUAAAUAAACUGGUAGUCCACGCCGUAAACGAUGUCAACUAGCCGUUGGGGAUCUUGAAUCCUUAGUGGCGCAGCUAACGCACUAAGUUGACCGCCUGGGGAGUACGGCCGCAAGGUUAAAACUCAAAUGAAUUGACGGGGGCCCGCACAAGCGGUGGAGCAUGUGGUUUAAUUCGACGCAACGCGAAGAACCUUACCUGGCCUUGACAUCCUGCGAACUUUCUAGAGAUAGAUUGGUGCCUUCGGGAACGCAGUGACAGGUGCUGCAUGGCCGUCGUCAGCUCGUGUCGUGAGAUGUUGGGUUAAGUCCCGUAACGAGCGCAACCCCUAUCCCUAGUUGCUAGCAGUUCGGCUGAGAACUCUAGGGAGACUGCCGGUGACAAACCGGAGGAAGGUGGGGAUGACGUCAGGUCAUCAUGGCCCUUACGGCCAGGGCUACACACGUGCUACAAUGGUGCGCACAGAGGGCUGCAAACUCGCGAGAGUAAGCCAAUCUCUUAAAACGCAUCGUAGUCCGGAUCGCAGUCUGCAACUCGACUGCGUGAAGUCGGAAUCGCUAGUAAUCGCGAAUCAGAAU
rnacentral:rRNA from 1 species